rnacentral:rRNA from 1 species
GCAUAUCAAUAAGCGGAGGAAAAGAAACUAACAAGGAUUCCCCUAGUAACGGCGAGUGAAGCGGGAAAAGCUCAAAUUUUAAAUCUGGUAGGAUCCCCUAUCCGAGUUGUAGUUUCAAGAAACGUUUUCGGUUGGCGCCUGGGUAUAAGUCCUUUGGAACAGGGCAUCAUAGAGGGUGAGAAUCCCGUUUAUGACUCGGAGCAGCGAACUAUGUGAUACGUUUUCAAAGAGUCAGGUUGUUUGGGAAUGCAGCCUAAAAUGGGUGGUAAAUUUCAUCUAAAGCUAAAUAUUGGCGAGAGACCGAUAGCGAACAAGUACCGUGAGGGAAAGAUGAAAAGAACUUUGAAAAGAGAGUUAAACAGUACGUGAAAUUGUUGAAAGGGAAACGUUUGAAAUCAGUCAUGUAGGUGAGUAAUCAGCUUGGCUUUUUUUAAGCCUUGUGCACUUUCUCAUCCACAGGUCAGCGUCAGUUUUGGCGGUCGGAUAAAAGCCAAGGGAAUGUGGCCCCUCCGGGGGUGUUAUAGCCCUGGUUAAUACGAUGGUCGGGACUGAGGUCUGCAGCCGAUACCUCUUGUGGGCUGGGUAAUACUUUUACUCGUAGGUGACCGAGCUUA